rnacentral:rRNA from 1 species
CCUACGGAGUGCUGCAGUGGGGAAUAUUGGACAAUGGGCGAAAGCCUGAUCCAGCCAUGCCGCGUGUGUGAAGAAGGCCUUCGGGUUGUAAAGCACUUUCAGUGGGGAAGAAAGCCUUGGGGCUAAUACCCUCGAGGAAGGACAUCACCCACAGAAGAAGCACCGGCUAACUCCGUGCCAGCAGCCGCGGUAAUACGGAGGGUGCGAGCGUUAAUCGGAAUUACUGGGCGUAAAGCGCGCGUAGGCGGUCUGAUAAGCCGGUUGUGAAAGCCCCGGGCUCAACCUGGGAACGGCAUCCGGAACUGUCAGGCUAGAGUGCAGGAGAGGAAGGUAGAAUUCCCGGUGUAGCGGUGAAAUGCGUAGAGAUCGGGAGGAAUACCAGUGGCGAAGGCGGCCUUCUGGACUGACACUGACGCUGAGGUGCGAAAGCGUGGGUAGCAAACAGGAUUAGAUACCCGUGUAGUC